CAGGGACAGAUUCACGGUAAUCAUCUAGAAUGUCACCACAGUGGCAUUUCUGGAACAGUGUGUGGCCUUUUAUUGACAAAGCUUAGUGUCUCCCACUGACAAAUCAUUGAGAAUGAGAUAGGUGACGAAAUCAAUGACUCUCUCUCUCUCGCUCUCUGUCUAUGUUUAAUCAGCAGAGAUGGUGGCGGAUCGGAUGAAUCGAAAGGUUGGAAACAGGCUGUUCAACCUGUCAGUGGGUAAAGGUGGACAAAAACACUUUUGAAAAGAGACAUUUAGUAUAAAGAUCUUCUGUAAAUCUAAUUCACAUCCAAAGAGUUAAGAUUACUUUACUAGUUAUAGCAUGAAAUAAACAUGAAUGAACAUCAGAAGGUAUCUCAUUUCAACCUUGGAAAGAUGUCAAUACACAGCAUUUUUCAAGUUAAAGGGAUACUCCACCCCAAAAUGAAAAUUUUAUUUUUUUUUUUUUUUUGGUUAAAGACUCUCUCCUUUCCUCUUCAUCUACCCUCCAUGCUUCAGAAUAAGAAAAAGAUAUGAUGAUUACACUAAAAUCUGAAUGAACAGAUGGUUUGGCUUUUGGGAAAACUGCCAUUUUGAAUGGCUUCCCUCAAACCGAUCCGACUGGGUGUCUUGUUGAAAAGAUCCCUCCAUUUUUUAGCAGUUUAGAGGUUAUCACAUUUAGACCAAUGGCUGAAUAAUGGCUUUGGUCUAAUACUAGAGGCUAAGGUUUGUUCGGCCAUCCAUUUAAGAAAUGCCAACAAAAGAGGGAAUUAAAGCAAAUAGCCUGUAUUUUCCUGUCCAUUUACAUUGCUUGUUGUACAGUUGAACCACAACUUUGCCUCAUACAUGUAAUUAUGGUAAUUGUGGUUUAGGCAGUUAUGUACACAAGCCCACAUCUGUGUUGAUCUUCGAGGGAAGAUGUUGAGCUAUAUUAGCUGUGCUCAAAUUACACACUGCGCAAGGGUUGCCAUGUAGUUCAGAUAAGCAGGCUUGCAUUGUGAUUUUAAACUGACAGCAUCUGGAUGUAGAAAAUAAAGCGAUUUCUGGUUUACUGCA
ensembl:lncRNA